AGUGAACGCUGGCGGCAGGCCUAACACAUGCAAGUCGAACGGCAGCACAGAGGAGCUUGCUCCUUGGGUGGCGAGUGGCGGACGGGUGAGGAAUGCAUCGGAAUCUGCCUAUUUGUGGGGGAUAACGUAGGGAAACUUACGCUAAUACCGCAUACGUCCUAGGGGAGAAAGUGGGGGACCUUCCGGCCUCACGCAGAUAGAUGAGCCGAUUCCGGAUUGGCUAGUUGGCGGGGUAAAGGCACACCAAGGCGACGAUCCGUAGCUGGUCUGAGAGGAUGAUCAGCCACACUGGAACUGAGACACGGUCCAGACUCCUACGGGAGGCAGCAGUGGGGAAUAUUGGACAAUGGGCGCAAGCCUGAUCCAGCCAUGCCGCGUGUGUGAAGAAGGCCUUCGGGUUGUAAAGCCCUUUUGUUGGGAAAGAAAUCCUGUCGAUUAAUACUCGGUGGGGAUGACGGUACCCAAAGAAUAAGCACCGGCUAACUUCGUGCCAGCAGCCGCGGUAAGAC
rnacentral:rRNA from 1 species